UACGUAGGGGUCGAGCGUUGUCCGGAUUUAUUGGGCGUAAAGAGCGUGUAGGCGGCCAGGUAGGUCUGCUGUGAAAACUCGAGGCUCAAUCUCGAGACGUCGGCGGAAACCAUCUGGCUAGAGUCCGGAAGAGGAGAGUGGAAUUCCUGGUGUAGCGGUGAAAUGCGCAGAUAUCAGGAAGAACACCCGUGGCGAAGGCGGCUCUCUGGGACGGUGCUGACGCUGAGACGCGAAAGCGUGGGGAGCGAACAGG
rnacentral:rRNA from 1 species